rnacentral:rRNA from 1 species
AUUGAACGCUGGCGGCAUGCCUUACACAUGCAAGUCGAACGGCAGCACGGGAGCAAUCCUGGUGGCGAGUGGCGAACGGGUGAGUAAAGCAUCGGAACGUGCCCAGUCGUGGGGGAUAACGUAGCGAAAGUUACGCUAAUACCGCAUACGAUCUGUGGAUGAAAGCGGGGGACCGUAAGGCCUCGCGCGAUUGGAGCGGCCGAUGUCAGAUUAGGUAGUUGGUGGGGUAAAGGCUCACCAAGCCGACGAUCUGUAGCUGGUCUGAGAGGACGACCAGCCACACUGGGACUGAGACACGGCCCAGACUCCUACGGGAGGCAGCAGUGGGGAAUUUUGGACAAUGGGCGAAAGCCUGAUCCAGCCAUGCCGCGUGCAGGAUGAAGGCCUUCGGGUUGUAAACUGCUUUUGUACGGAACGAAACGGACUCUGUUUAAUACAUGGGCUAAUGACGGUACCGUAAGAAUAAGCACCGGCUAACUACGUGCCAGCAGCCGCGGUAAU